GUACCCUCAAGCUUUGCUUGGUGUUGGGCGUCGCGGCCUGCCGCGCGCCUCAAAGUCCUCGGCGGAAGCCGCCCGUUCCUCUGCGUGAUGAUCCAUCGCCGCUUGGGAGUCGGGGGAGAGCGCCUGCACGCGUCGACGGAGACGUCGACUUCAA
rnacentral:misc_RNA from 1 species